rnacentral:piRNA from 1 species
UGAUUUUAAAUUUCUUCUGCCUCGGCCUC